GAAGCAAGCCAGACAGUCGCUGGCCGUCGUGAAAACGGCGGCGGGAGGAAGGUCCGGACACCAUAGAGCGGGGUGACGGCUAACGGCCGUCCGCUGAAAGCCGCAAGGUAUAAGGCGAGGAAUAGGGCCACAGAGACGAGUCUUUGCGACGCUUGCGUCGCAAAGGGUGAAACGCGGUAACCUCCACUCGGUGCAAUUCCAAGUAGGCACGCAUUGAUGCUGCUCGCGGAGCGUGCGGGUAGGAAGCUUGAGCGCAGGAGUAAUCCGGCGCCUAGAGGAAUGACUGUCAUAGCAACGCAAGUUGCCGUAACAGAAUCCGGCCUAUCGGCUUGCUUCACUU
rnacentral:RNase_P_RNA from 1 species